CAAUAUCUAUAUUUUAAAACACUGGCUACUGUCACGGCUACAUCUUUGUGUUCUAUCAGAAUCAGCUUUAUUGACUUUCAGUUCAUGAAGUUCCUGGAUUUCCCAGUUGCCUUGAACGUGUAUCUAUCGAAAAGCUGCUUGAACUGUCGUAAACAAUCCUAUAAAUUAGUGUGCUACUCGAGAGAGGCUCCUCUCUUCGUCUGCUUUCUGCUGAAGUGCAGUAGCGAAAUGUGCACGAUGGGAUAUGACCUAAUUGUUGAUUGUGGUGAGGCGCUGGUGUCCCACAGUUUGUGCUGCCACUGUUGUGGUUGAGGUUUUGGAGAUGGCUGUAGUCCUGCUCGCAAAGGAUGAUUUCCUGAUCCCAGACAUCAGUAAGGAUUCCACAACAAAGAUACCUGGAAGCACUGAUGAGGAACGUCGGUAACCUUUCACUAUGCAGCAGCUUGAUACAGAUCACUGACCAGCUGCUAAGAGGGGUCCUGACUGUCGUGUCGCUGACUGACUUUGAUUUUGAUUCCAAAAUCAACUGUACUACUGCAAAUCAGACUGUUGAUGAUAACUCUGAUUUCGCCUUGUCUGUAAAAUAAAUAAAUGUCAGUACUGGUCUGCUAAUCUCUCCCAGUUUGUACGUAUUACAGUAUAGCAAUGGUCUUAAUGACACAUAGAAGGAAUGUGUAAGCACAGUUUUGCAGUUUCUCAAAAGAGAAUCUGAGCCCUUACGUCUGUCUGGAGAAGCCUGAAAUUGCUCUCAAAGCUCACUGAAGUUGUUACCUUAUUUUAACUGAGAUCCAGGGAAACUAGCAUGUCUGAGUCCAAAUGUCAACGGGCUCAAUUAGCACUCACUGUCACUCAAAUCAGGAAUUUGUACAUGUAAAAUGGUAUGUCGUGGG
ensembl:lncRNA